UGGGGAAUAUUGCACAAUGGGGGAAACCCUGAUGCAGCGACGCCGCGUGAACGAAGAAGGUAUUCGUAUCGUAAAGUUCUGUCCUAUGGGAAGAUAAUGACAGUACCAUAGAAGAAAGCCCCGGCUAAAUACGUGCCAGCAGCCGCGGUAAUACGUAUGGGGCGAGAGUUGUCCGGAAUUAUUGGGCGUAAAGGCUACGCAGGCGGUUUAAUAAGUCGAAUGUUAAAGAUCGGGGCUCAACCCCGCAAAGCAUUGGAAACUGAUAAACUUGAGUAGUGGAGAGGAAAGUGGAAUUCCUAGUGUAGUGGUGAAAUACGUAGAUAUUAGGAGGAAUACCAGUAGCGAAGGCGACUUUCUGACCACAAACUGACGCUGAUGUACGAAAGCGUGGUGAGCAAACAGG
rnacentral:rRNA from 1 species